rnacentral:rRNA from 1 species
AAGAAACCAACAGGGAUUGCCUUAGUAGCGGCGAGUGAAGCGGCAAAAGCUCAAAUUUGAAAUCUGGCUCUUUCAGAGUCCGAGUUGUAAUUUGAAGAAGGUAUCUUUGGGUCUGGCUCUUGUCUAUGUUUCUUGGAACAGAACGUCACAGAGGGUGAGAAUCCCGUGCGAUGAGAUGAUCCAGGCCUAUGUAAAGUUCCUUCGAAGAGUCGAGUUGUUUGGGAAUGCAGCUCUAAGUGGGUGGUAAAUUCCAUCUAAAGCUAAAUAUUGGCGAGAGACCGAUAGCGAACAAGUACAGUGAUGGAAAGAUGAAAAGAACUUUGAAAAGAGAGUGAAAAAGUACGUGAAAUUGUUGAAAGGGAAGGGCUUGAGAUCAGACUUGGUAUUUUGUAUGUUACUUCUUCGGGGGUGGCCUCUACAGUUUAUCGGGCCAGCAUCAGUUUGGGCGGUAGGAGAAUUGCGUUGGAAUGUGGCACGGCUUCGGUUGUGUGUUAUAGCCUUCGUCGAUACUGCCAGCCUAGACUGAGGACUGCGGUUUAUACCUAGGAUGUUGGCAUAAUG